rnacentral:rRNA from 1 species
AAAUCUGUUUGAAUAUAGGGGAACCUUCCUCUAAGGCUAAAUAUGAUAUAUAAGCGAUAGUGAAAAGUACCGUGAGGUAAAAUUUGAAAUAGUAGUUUUAUAAGCAGCUCGAGUGAAAAUUUAAAUAAGUAAUAAGAGUGUACCUUUUGCAUAAUGGGUCAGCAAGUUAAUUUUAGAUGCAAGCAAUGAUUUCGUGCGCUUUGCGCAUGGAACUAGCUUAGAUAAACCAAUUAUGAGAAAAUGAAUAAGUAUCUAGAAUUAGACCCGAAGGCUAGUGAUCUUACCAUGGUCAGGAUUAUAAAAGUCCGAACGGGUUAUCGUUGUAUAGAUAUCCGAAGAAUUGUGGUAAGUUAGUGAAAGACAAAACUGACUAGUAUAGCUGGUUUUCCGCGAAACCUAUAUGAGUAGGUAAUUUAACUAACAUCUUAGCAGGUACAGAACUGUGAUCUCGGACAAUAUCUUUUGAUUUUGUCAACAUCGGGGGGUUGUAGUGACUUUACCGGAGAGUAUUUGCACUCGGAAUGGCAAAGAUGAAUGUUGAAUAAUCGGACAUAGUGCGAUAAGGUUGUAUGUCUAAAGGGAAACAGCCCAGAACAAGAGUUAAGGUUCCAAAAUUAUUGUUGAGUGAAAUUAAGGAUGUUUUUUUUAAAAACAAUCAGGAAAUAGGCUUAGAAGCGGCCAUUUUUUGAAGACCUCGUAACAGAGCACUGAUUAAUUAAAUUUAGAAAAAAACACCGAAAAUUUAACGGAUCUAAACAAUAUACCGAAACCUUGUACACAUAUUUAUAAUAUUAAUAUUGUAUAUGUGGGGUAGCGGAACAUUGGAUAAAUAUUAAUUAUUAUUUCUUCUAAGAAGUAAUAAGUAUGGAUUAUUAUUAAAAAUAUUUAUUUAUUAAAGAUAUUUAUGUAAUAUUAUUAUACCUAAAAGGUAUAAUGUUUAGAUGAAUAUAUAGAUAGAUUAUAUCUGUCUUUAUUAUUAAUAUAAUCCAUCGAUAUAAUCCAAGAGAGAAUGCUGACAUGAGUAACGAAAAAGGAAUAUCCUCGCCUUAAGCUUAUGGUAUUAUAUUUAAUUUUCGGUAUCUAAAAGUAUUAAUCAAAAGGUAAUUUUGAUGAUAUUUAUAUAUAAAUACUUAAAAAUAAAAAACAAAACCUUUAACAAGUAAUAAAGGUUCUGGAAAAUUUUUUAUUUUUAUUAAGUGAAGUAUAAUGCAAUAUAGGUAUAUUAUAAUUUAUAUAAUUUUCUUGUUACAAGUUUUCAAGAUUGUAUAGAUUUUAUCUAUAUUAAAUAUAUUUUCUUUUUUAUACUAUUGUAUAAGUAAGGUUUAUAUAUACCGUACCUAGAUACUAUCACAAGUAAGCAAGUAGAGAAUACAAAGGCGUUUGAGUGAACAAUCAUUAAGGAACUCGGCAAAUUGACUACCGUAACUUCGGGAUAAGGAGGGCCAUUAUGAUUAGUUUAACAUAUCUUAUGAUAUGAUUUAAUUAAACUAAUCAUAAGAGGAAACAUGAAAUAAUGUUGUACGACUGUUUAAUAAAAACACAGCACUCUGCAAAGAUAAAAUAUCAAAGUAUUGAGUGUGAUGUCUGCCCAAUGUCGGCUGGGUAACGGAUUUACCUUGGUUUUUAACUGAGGUUUUGAAGGAUACCCCGAUUAAUGGCGGCCUUACCUAUGAGGGUCCUAAGGUAGCGAAAUACCUUGGCCGUUAAAUGCGGUCCUGCAUGAAUGACUUAACGAUACAACAGCUGUCUCGAUGAUUGUCUCAGUGAAAUUGGAAUAGCAGUGCAGAUACUGUUUACCUCUAGAUAGACGAGAAGACCCUAUGCAGCUUUACUGUUACUAAUUGCAAGAGUGGAAAUUUAGGAUGAUUUCGAGUGUAUAAGGUAGUUGUUUGAUAACAAUGAAACACCUUUAUUCGUUUCCUACUAUAUGCUCUUGAGGAUUGGGAGGCAGUUUAUGCGGGGCACAGAUCCCACAAAAAGUACCUGGG